rnacentral:rRNA from 1 species
UGGGGAAUAUUGCACAAUGGGCGCAAGCCUGAUGCAGCCAUGCCGCGUGUGUGAAGAAGUCCUUGGGUUGUAAAGCACUUUCAGCGGGGAGGAAGGCGGUGAGGUUAAUAACCUCAUCGAUUGACGUUACCCGCAGCAGAAGCCCCGGCUAACUCCGUGCCAGCCGCCGCGGUAAGACGGAGGGUGCAAGCGUUAAUCGGAAUUACUGGGCGUAAAGCGCACGCAGGCGGUCUGUCAAGUCGGAUGUGAAAUCCCCGGGCUCAACCUGGGAACUGCAUUCGAAACUGGCAGGCUAGAGUCUUGUAGAGGGGGGUAGAAUUCCAGGUGUAGCGGUGAAAUGCGUAGAGAUCUGGAGGAAUACCGGUGGCGAAGGCGGCCCCCUGGACAAAGACUGACGCUCAGGUGCGAAAGCGUGGGGAGCAAACAGG